rnacentral:lncRNA from 1 species
GCAUGAGUUUAGCGAGGAGAAGGACAAAGGACUGGAGUGGGAACCAUCUGCCCUAGAUUUCAAUCAUCACAGCCUGGCUGAGCUCUGUAUCUAUGGUUUUCGGGCAGAAGACAAAUUUGUGAGGUAUGCCAGAAACAUCAUGGAGGCAGCGGUGAACCUGGUGGCUGUAAACCUGUAUAAGAAUCCAGGGUGUGAGAAAUGCAAGCGCGGGCUUCCAAGUGGGUGGACGUGGACGGAGAUGCUGUUGAUUAGAGACAAAAUCAGCAAGGGCAUGUCGUCAGAUGUUGGGAUUCGCUUCCCGAGUUGACGGGCGACAAUUCAUAUGGAUCGGAGGAAGUACCAUCUCAAAAUACACAGGUUCAUUGUUGACGAUGAAUCAGUGCAUACAGCAGUAGCUUUGCAGCGUGAGUGUGUUGUUUUGUCUAAGAAAAAAACUUGCUGUCAGCGACAAUUAAUAUGAAUCGGAGGGAGUACUAAGUUGUACAAUAAUAUGAGUAGCCUUAACAGUAGUGUCAAGUAUUUUUUUUUUCAUUCUUCAUUCCUUGUUGGGUUAGCUGAAAUAGGAUGCACGAAAAAUAUGGUAGGGAAAAAAAUGAGGUACUGAAACAGGAUCCACGAAAAGACAAGUGAGAGCUUGUAUUGGUUGACCUGACAUAUAAGCUUAAUAAUGAGUUGCAAAAAUACACAUAUACUCCCUCCGUUCGGAAAUACUUGUCUCGGAAAUGGAUGUAUCUAGAACUGAAAUACAUCUAGAUACAUCCAUUUCUGCGACAAGUAAUUCCGAACGAAGGGAGUAUAAGCUUAAUGUGUUACAAAUACAGUAGUGAAAUUGGUAUAAGCACAAGUUGAAUACAAGCUUUUAUGACAAAUCUACAUUUCUCUACCUCCCAGGAGAAGAUUUAUCCAUUGUGGACUCAACAGUGACGGUGCUUUCUCCCUUUCGAGGGUAUUGUCGUGGAGCUUAGAUGUACUAGAGCUUUUAUGGAAAACUUGAUUGUUUAUUUAUUUUGGAAAAUGGAGAACUUGAUGUUGACAUAGGUAUGGUCUCAGUUGCUACCUACCUGGGCUGGACAUGCUUGAUUCCAAGUCGGUCGAUGAUCAUGGUUUGCCGAUGGAUCGAUCCAGCAGAGCAUAUAAAUAAGACUCUUUGGUUCUAUCUCUUGAAAAUGUGCGACCGCCCAGCAAAAUGAAGCACCAUGUCAGCAUGUGUAUUUUUUUGAGAAAUCUCGCCCACUUUAUUGAUUCAUAACAAUGUUCAUAGGUACAAGGUUUUGAUCAUGGGGUACUUAACCCCCAGGCAGCCAACUAUGCCGGCCAGGCCCAAGACCGCGACCAAAUUUGGCGAGAUUAUGAGGUUCGAAAUUAAACACCCUACGCUCAUGGCUAAAACUACAAGAAAUAAAAGCAUCUACCGUAUGAUAGCGCCAUGUAGUCCAGCAGAAUCAUGCUUUAUGUCCUUGAUGAUCUGUUUCCUUCUCCAGCCUCCUUUUCAUUGUUGUGUGUGUGUGUGUGAGAGAGAGAAGGAAAAAAGAAUUACAACACAGUACCCAUGGCUAAUCCUAUUUGUUGCUCUCUACGACGAGGUGUUGUUUAAUCACACGGAGAAUUGCACAACAGCACAAGUGGGAGUGAAUUCCAAUACAACUUAUGUUUAUAAGAAAUUAUUGAAUAGCCCUUACUUCAUAUAUUAAUUGAAAAAAACCUGACCCAAUUAGACAUAUAGAAGGAAUCCGGUUUUGCGAACCUUGUAGACAGCUUUGGUCCAUUUUUUUCCUUUUCUUGUUGUUUUAUUUACCAGAUUUCCUUUUUUUAAUUUUUUUCAUUGUCUGGAUUCCCCUGUUUUAUUUUUCAUUUAUUUAAAUGUUUGAAAAUUUAAAGAUUUUACUUGAAAGUUAAAAUUUAGAAUGUUCUGAAUAAAAAAAUGUCCAUGUUAAACAUAAUUACAAUAAAUGUUAAAAUAUGGAAGUUUAAAAAUCGUUGUCAUCGGUUGGGUGAUUUAAAUCACUUCCCUUAUAGUCUUAUAUGUAUCCAGAUCAAUCUAUAGAAUUCGAUUUGAUCUUCAAGCUAAUAUGGCAAUAGCCUUUUUAAGGAACUUUAAAAUUCAUACAAACAAAUUGUGACGGGGAGUCUACCGAAGCAAAACUCUUGAUAAAUGUAUGAAAAUUUAGAAAAUUGCCAUAGACUAAAAUCUUCAUUGUUUACAAAAAAAUGUUCGCAAAUUCCAAAAGUCUUCCCAAUUUUGAAAAAUAUUCGUGAAAUUACAAAAUAUGCAAAAAUUUGAAAAAUGUUAUUUCAAAAGUAAAUGAACUUGAAAAUGUGCGAAUUUAAAAAAAUUUCAUCAGUUUUUUAAAAAGUUCACAAAUUUUAAAGGUGUUAAGGAAUUUAAUAAUCUUCCUAAAUUUUAGAAAAUAUUUUUGAAUUUUAAAAACAUGUGGAAACUUGAAGUAUUCAUAGAGCAGAUUUACAAAUUCUUCAUAAAUUUACAGAGACAAUUAAGAAUUCUAGUAUUGACCCAAAAAAAAUUAUUCACAAUUUAGGGAAAUGUAAAUUUUAAAAAGUUUGCUAAUUUAAAUGAUUGUGUAUUGAUAUCAUAAUAUUUCCAAGUUUCAAAAAACUAUUUGCUAAUCUAAAUAAUAAUUAUCAAUUAAAAGGGAAAUUGGAAAAAUAGAUGAAAACUCCUGAAAACAAGAUAAAAAGCACAAAAAAAUAAGAAGAAAAUUAAUGCGAAAAGAUGGAAAAAUAGAUACGUUGGAGACGUAUCACCCACCCAAGUUCCUCCUCCGCCGCAUCUGAAACAAGAUCUGGAGCCGCGUCUGCCGUCCCUGGGAGCACCAGUGUCCGCGUCUGUCGCCGUCCCGCUGCUCGGGGAGCAUUGGCGUGGGCAGCCAUGGCUGCCGCCUCCUCGAGCUCAGUUUCCCGCUACAAGUUUUGUGCAACAACGGUGCUUCUACAUCCCCGGCAGCCAUGCUCGCCUCCCUCAUCCAUUGCUGCACUCGCUUACCCUUCCAUGGUCGUGCUAAUUUUGCAACAUGGGUCCUGUUGCAGAAAAUUAGAUGCGGCAGAGAUGUCAUUUAAAUUUUUACAGCAAGGGUAUUGUUGCAGAAAAUUAGACGCAACGGAAGAUGUUGAUGCAAUUUUUGCAACAAGGAUCUUGUUGCAGAAAAUUAAAAGCGGGAAAGAUGUUGCAGAAAAUUAGAUGCGUGAAAGAUGUUGCACAAAAUUAGACGCUUGAAAAAUGUUGUUGUAGACAAUUAGACACGGCGAGAGAUGUUGUUUGCAAUUUUUCUAAGGGUUUUGUUGCAGAAAACUAAAAAAGAAUAGGUUUUGCAACAUGGGUCUUGUUCCAGAAAAUUAUAGAAGAUGAUGUUUCGCAACAAGGCCUUGUUGCAGGAAAUCAGAGAAGACCAGAUCUUGCAACAAGAGCUUCGUUGCAUGAAACUAGAGAGGAGGAUUGAACGGCUCGCGUCACGCAUCGAAUGGCUCGCGAGAUGCUUAUUUCUGCAACUCGACCGUUGUUUCAGGAAUUAAUGGGUCGAGGGAGGAGACCAAGCCGUGCACCAGAAGUAGAUCAGACGGCUGUACGCGUGUACAUCGAAUGGCCGUUGAGGUGGCGGAUAUUUCAUACGGAUUACCCGGCGGACGCGUAGCGUCUCCCCUUAAAAUAAGUGUCUUAAGUUAAGAUGUACUAUGAAACUUGUGACACAUGGACUACUUAUACAAAAUCUAAUCGGAAUAGAUAGGUUAAUAAAAAUAAUUUACCAAAAUUUUAGCCAAGGUAAUAAACACUUAAACCCAAACGAGGUGUCUCCAGAGGGAUAUAUGAUUUUUGGCACAUGAAGCAGGUCGUGUCUCUUUUCUCGCUAGGUGCAACGCACGGGCAUUUGUACUAGUCUGUCUUCUAUACUACUAUUACUAGUAAUUUGUACGUGCUUUGCACGUUAGAUUAUUAUGUGUGACCACAAUACUAAAUCAUGUAAAUUAAAAAUAGAAUAUUCUGUGCUAUAAUAAAAUGGUAACUUCUGGAAUUUUUUUACAAUUCGUCUUGAAUCACGGUAGCACAACAGAUUUCUAUAUGAAGAAUGCUUUGAAAAACAUACUUUUAUUCCAAAAGAAAUGUUAUUGACGUGUUUGUGAAAUCUUUUAGCUUUUUCAUGUUCCACCUUGAAAAUACAAAUAAAGUUAGUUUGAUGUUAAUUUUCACCAUUUCAAACAGUAAACUUUAAAUAACUUAACAUCCGAUGAAGAAAAAUAAAUUAAAAUCUAAUUUAAAUUUUCUAUAAGUUGUUUGAAUAUUUCUCUUAACAAACAGCAAUACUCGUUUCGUUCCAUAAUAUAGUGCGUAAAGAUUUUUUGAAAAGUCAAUCCUCACAAACUUUGACCAAGUUUGUAAAGAAAAACAUUUACAUCUAGAAUUCCAAGCAUAUAUCAUUAGCUUCAUCGUAAGAUGUAUUCCAUAUUUUUGGUAUUGUAGAUAUAAAUAGUUUUCUCUAUAAACUUGGUCAAAGUUUAAAAAAUUUGACUUUUCAAAAAACUAUACACGCUCCAUUAUGAAAUAUAUCCUUAUUCCACUAAGGAUAAUUUUGACCGUUGUCCAGUGAUCUACUCCUAGAUCACUAUUGUACUCCCUUGCUAAACACAGUGUAGGGUAUACAAUAGAUCUGGUACACAGCAUGGCAUACUUUAUAGAACCAAUGGCCAAGGCAUAGGGAAUGACUUUCAUUCUCUUUCUAUCUUCUGCCGUGGUCGGGUUUCGAGUCUUACUCAAUUUCACACCUUGUAACACAGGCAAGAACUAUUUCUUUGACUGUUCCAUUUAGAACUACUUCAAAAUCUUGUCAAGGUAUGUACUCAUUGAAAAAACUUAUCAAGCGUCUUGAUCUAUCUCUAUAGAUCUUGAUGCUCAAUAUGUAAGCAGCUUCAUCGAGGUUUUUCUUUGAAAAACUCCUUUCAAACACUCCUUUAUGCUUUGCAGAAUAAUUCUACAUUAUUUUUGAUCAACAAUAUGUCAUUCACAUAUACUUAUCAGAAAUGGUGUAGUGCUCCCACUCACUUUCUUGUAAAUACAGGCUUCACCGCAAGUCUGUAUAAAACUAUAUGCUUUGAUCAACUUAUCAAAGCGUAUAUUCCAACUCCGAGAUGCUUGCACCAGUCCAUAGAUGGAUCGCUGGAGCUUGCAUAUUUUGUUAGCACAUUUAGGAUUGACAAAACCUUCUGGUUGCAUCAUAUACAACUCUUCUUUAAUAAAUCCAUUAAGAAUGCAGUUUUGUUUAUCCAUUUGCCAGAUUUUAUCAAAUGCGGCAAUUGCUAACAUGAUUCGGACAGACUUAAGCAUAGAUACGAGUGAGAAACUCUCAUCAUAGUCAACACCUUGAACUUGCCGAAAACCUUUUGCGACAAUUCUAGCUUUGUAGAUAGUAACACUACUAUCAGCGUCCGUCUUCCUUCUGAAGAUCCAUUUAAUCUCAAUGGCUCGCCGAUCAUUGGACAAGUCAAUCAAAGUCCAUACUUUGUUCUCAUACAUGGAUCUCAUCUCAUAUUUCAUGGCCUCAAGCCAUUUCGCGGAAUCUGGGCUCAUCAUCGCUUCCUCAUAGUUCAUAGGUUCGUCAUGGUCAAGUAACAUGACCUCCAGAACAGGAUUACCGUACCACUCUAGUGCGGAUCUCACUCUGGUCUACCUACGAGGUUCGGUAGUAACUUGAUCUGAAGUUACAUGAUCAUCAUCAUUAGCUUCCUCACUAAUUGGUAUAGUAGUCACAUGAAUAGAUUUCUGUGAUGAACUACUUUCUAAUAAGGGAGCAAGUACAGUUACCUCAUUAAGUUCUACUUUCCUCCCACUCACUUCUUUCGAGAGAAACUCCUUCUCUAGAAAGGAUCCAUUCUUAGCAAAGAAUAUCUUGCCUUCGGAUCUGUGAUAGAAGGUGUACCCAAUAGUAACUUUUUGGGUAUCCUAUGAAGACGCACCUUUCCGAUUUGGGUUUGAGCUUAUCAGGAUGAAACUUUUUCUUAUAAGCAUCGCAACCCCAAACUUUAAGAAACGACAACUUUGGUUUCUUGCCAAACCACAGUUCAUACAGUGUCGUCUCAACGGAUUUAGAUGGUGCCCUUUUUUCGUGAAUGCAGCUGUCUCUAAUGCAUAACCCCAAAACUAUAGUGGUAAAUCGGUAAGAAACAUCGUAGAUUGCACUAUAUCCAAUAAAGUACGGUUAUGACGUUCGAACACACCAUUAUGCUGUGGUGUUCCAGGUGGCAUGAAUUUGUGAAACUAUUCCACAUAGUUUUAAUUGAAGACCAAACUCGUAACUCAAAUAUUUGUCUCCGUGAUCAGAUCGUAGAAACCUUAUUUUUCUUGUUAUGAUGAUUUUCCACUUCACUCUGAAAUUCUUUGAACUUUUCAAAUGUUUCAGACUUAUGUUUCAUCAAGCAGAUAUACCCAUAUCUGCUUAAAUCAUAUGUGAAGGUCAGAAAAUAAUGAUACCCGCCGCGAGCUUCAACACUCAUCAGAUCGCAUACAUCAGUAUGUAUUAUUUCCAAUAAGUCAGUUGCUCACUCCAUUGUUCCGGAGAACGGAGUCUUUAGUCAUCUUGCCCAUAAGGCAUGGUUCGCAAGCACCAAGUGAUUCAUAAUCAAGUGAUUCCAAAAUCCCAUCAGCAUGGAGUUUCUUCAUGUGCUUUACACCAAUAUGACCUAAACGGCAGUGCCACAAAUAAGUUGCACUAUCAUUAUUAACUUCGCAUCUUUUGGUUUCAAUAUUAUGAAUAUGUGUAUCACUAUGAUCGAGAUCCAACGAACUUGUUUCAUUGGGUGUAUGACCAUCGAAGGUUUUAUUCAUGUAAACAGAACAACAAUUAUUCUCUGACUUUAAUGAAUAUCCGUAUUGCAAUAAAUAUGAUCAAAUCAUAUUCAUGCUCAACGCAAAAACCAAAUAACAUUUAUUUAGGUUCAACACUAAUCCCGAAAGUAUAGGGGAGUGUGCGAUGAUGAUCAUAUCAAUCUUGGAACUACUUCCAACACACAUCGUCACUUCACCCUUAACUAGUCUCUAUUUAUUCUGCAACUCCUGUUUCGAGUUACUACUCUUAGCAACUGAACCAGUACCAAAUACCGAGGGGUUGCUAUAAACACUAGUAAAGUACACAUCAAUAACAUGUAUAUCAAAUAUACCUUUGUUCACUUUGCCAUCCUUCUUAUCCGCCAAAUACUUGGGGUGGUUCCGCUUCUAGUGACCAGUCCCUUUGCAGUAUAAGCACUUAGUCUCAGGCUUAGGUCCAGACUUGGGCUUCUUCACUUGAGCAGCAACUUGCUUGCUGUUCUUCUUGAAGUUCCCUUCUAUCCCUUUGCCCUUUUCUUGAAACUAGUGGUCUUGUUAACCAUCAACACUUGAUGUUUUUCUUGAUUUCUACCUUCGUUGAUUUCAGCAUCACGAAGAGCUUGGGAAUUACUUUCGUCAUCCCUUGCAUAUCAUAGUUCAUCACAAAGUUCUACUAACUUGGUGAUGGUGACUAGAGAAUUCUGUCAAUCACUAUUUUAUCUGGAAGAUUAACUCCCACUUGAUUCAAGCGAUUGUAGUACCCAGACUAUCUGAGCACAUGCUCACUAGUUGAGCGAUUCUCCUCCAUCUUUUAGCUAUAGAACUUGUUGGAGACUUCAUAUCUCUCAACUCGGGUAUUUGCUUGAAAUAUUAACUUCAAUUCCUGGAACAUCUCAUAUGGUCCAUGACGUUCAAAACGUCUUUGAAGUCCCGAUUCUAAGUCGUUAAGCAUGGUGCACUAAACUAUCAAGUAGUCAUCAUACCGAGCGUUUGUCAAAAACGUUCAUAACGUCUGCAUCUGCUCUUGCAAUAGGUCUGUCACCUAGCGGUGCAUCAAGGACAUAACUUUUUUGUGCAGCAAUGAGGAUAAACCUCAGAUCACGGAUCCAAUCUGCAUCUUUGCUACUAACAUCUUUCAACUUAGUUUUCUCUAGGAACAUAUCAAAAUUAAACGGGGAGCAACAUCGUGAGCUAUUGAUCUACAACAUAGAUAUGCUAAUACUACCAGGACUAAGUUCAUGAUAAAUUAAAGUUCAAUUAAUCAUAUUACUUAAAAACUCCCACUUAGAUAGACAUCCCUCUAAUCGUCUAAGUGAUCACGUGAUCCAAAUCAACUAAACCAUAACCGAUCAUCACGUGAAAUGGAGUAGUUUUCAAUGGUGAACAUCACUAUGUUGAUCAUAUCUUCUAUAUGAUUCAUGCUCGACCUUUCGGUCUUGGUAUUCCGAGGCCAUAUCUGCAUAUGCUAGGCUCGUCAAGUUUAACCUGAGUAUUCCGUGUGUGCAAAACUGGCUUGCACCCGUUGUAGAUGGACGUAGAGCUUAUCACACCCGAUCAUCACGUGGUGUCUGGGCACGACGAACUUUGGCAACGGUGCAUACUCAGGGAGAACACUUUUAUCUUGAAAUUUAGUGAGAGAUCAUCUUAUAAACCUACCGUCGAACUAAGCAAAAUAAGAUGCAUAAAAGAUAAACAUCACAUGCAAUCAAAAUAUGUGACAUGAUAUGGCCAUGAUCAUCUUGCGCCUUUGAUCUCCAUCUCCAAAGUACUGUCAUGAUCUCUAUUGUCACCGGCAUGACACCAUGAUCUCCAUCAUCUUGAUCUAUAUCAAUGUGUCGUCACGUGGUCGUCUCGCCAACUAUUGCUCUUGCAACUAUUGCUAUCGCAUAGCAAUAAAGUAAAGCAAUUAUUUGGCGCUUGCAUCUUAUGCAAUAAUGAGACAACCAUAAGGCUUCAGCCAGUUGCCGAUAACUUCAACAAAACAUGAUCAUCUCAUACAACAACUUAUAUCUCAUCAUGUCUUGACCAUAUCACAUCACAACAUGCCCUGCAAAAACAAGUUAGACGUCCUCUACUUUGUUGUUGCAAGUUUUACGUGGCUGCUACGGGCUUAGCAAGAACCGUUCUUACCUACGCAUCAAAACCACAACGAUAGUUUGUCAAGUUGGUGUUGUUUUAACCUUCGCAAGGACCGGGCGUAGCCACACUCGGUUCAACUAAAGUUGGAGAAACUGACACCCGCCAGCCACCUGUGUGCAAAGCACGUCGGUAGAACCAGUCUCGCGUAAGCGUACGCGUAAUGUCGGUCCGGGCCGCUUCAUCCAACAAUACCGCCGAACCGAAGUAUUACAUGCUGGUAAGCAGUAUGACUUAUAUCGCCCACAACUCACUUGUGUUCUACUCGUGCAUAUAACAUCAACACAUAAAACCUAGGCUCUGAUACCACUGUUAGGGAACGUAGUAAUUUCAAAAAUUUCCCUACGCACAUGCAAGAUCAUGGUGAUGCAUAGCAACGAGAGGGGAGAGUGUAGUCUACGUACCCUCGUAUACCGAAAGCGGAAGCAUUAUGACAACGCGGUUGAUGUAGUCGUAUGUCUUCAUGGCCCGACCGAUCAAGCACCAAAACUACGGCACCUCCGAGUUCUAGCACACGUUCAGCUCGAUGACGAUCCCCGGACUCCGAUCUAGCAAAGUGUCGGGGAAGAUUUCUGUCAGCACGACGGCGUGGUGACGAUCUUGAUGUUCUACCGUCGCAAGGCUUUGCCUAAGCACCGCUACAAUAUUAUCGAGGAUUAUGGUGGAGGGGGGCACCGCACACGGCUAAGAGAACGAUCACGAAGAUCAACUUGUGUGUCUAUGGGGUGCCCCCUGCCCCCGUAUAUAAAGGAGUGGAGGAGGGGAAGGCCGGCCCUCUCUAUGGCGCGCCCUAGGAGUGUCCUACUCCCACCGGGAGUAGGAUUCCCCCUUUCCUAGUCCAACUAGGAGUCCUUCCAAGUAGUAGGAGUAGGAGACAAGGAAGGGGAAGAGGGAAGAGAAGCAAGGAGGGGGCGCCGCCCCUCCCCUUAGUCCAAUUCGGACUAGUCAAUGGGGGGCGCGUGGCCUGCCUCUCCCUCUCCCCUAAAGUCCAAUAAGGCCCAUAUACUUCUUCCCCCGUAUUCCCGUAACUCCCCGGUACUCCAAAAAAUACCCGAACCACUCGGAACCUUUCCGAUGUCCGAAUAUAGUCGUUCAAUAUAUCGAUCUUUACGUCUCGACCAUUUCGAGACUCCUCGUCAUGUCCCCGAUCUCAUUCGGGACUCCGAGCUCCUUCGGUACAUCAAAACUCAUAAACUCAUAAUAUAACUAUCAUUGAAACCUUAAGCGUGCGGACCCUACGGGUUCGAGAACAAUGUAGACAUGAUCGAGACACGUCUCCGGUCAAUAACCAAUAGCGUAACCUGAAUGCUCAUAUUGGCUCCUACAUAUUCUAUGAAGAUCUUUAUCGGUCAGACCGCAUAACAACAUACGUUGUUCCCUUUGUCAUCGGUAUGUUACUUGCCCGAGAUUCGAUCAUCGGUAUCUCAAUACCUAGUUUAAUCUCGUUACUGUCAAGUCUCUUUACUCGUUCCGUAAUACAUCAUCUCGCAACUAACUCAUUAGUUGCAUUGCUUGCAAGGCUUAAGUGAUGUGCAUUACCGAGAGGGCCCAGAGAUACCUCUCCGACAUUCGGAGUGACAAAUCAUAAUCUUGAAAUACACCAACCCAACAAGUAACUUCAGAGACACCUGUAGAGCACCUUUAUAAUCACCCAGUUACGUUGUGACGUUUGGUAGUGUUCCUCUGGUAAACGGGAGUUUCAUAAUCUCAUAGUCAUAGGAACAUGUAUAAGUCAUGAAGAAAGCAAUAGCAACAUACUAAACGAUUGAGUGCUAAGCUAACGGAAUGGGUCAUGUCAAUCACAUCAUUCUCCUAAUGAUGUGAUCCCGUUAAUCAAAUGACAACUCAUGUCUAUGGCUAGGAAACUUAACCAUCUUUGAUCAACGAGCUAGUCAAGUAGAGGCAUACUAGUGACACUCUGUUUGUCUAUGUAUUCACACAUGUAUUAUGUUUCCGGUUAAUACAAUUCUAGCAUGAAUAAUAAACAUUUAUCAUGAAAUAAGAAAAUAAAUAAUAACUUUAUUAUUGCCUCUAAGGCAUAUUUUCUUCAAAAGCCUCCUCAAAGUCAAUUUUGCCCGCAAGGAAGAGUCCUUCUCGGACUUCCAGGACCAGACGCCAUGGUCCUUGGCGUCUGGCCCAGGCGCCAUGGGCCUUGGUGUCUGGCCCAGGGCCAGACGCCAGGGUCUCCGGCGUAUUGCCCCCUGGCCUCCGCAAAACUCCUUUUGCUCCGACCUAAAGCCCAGUGGGCAUCACCCCUUGGCUGAAUCAUAUCAUUCUAUAUAUCCAUCUUUACCUCUGGACCAUUCCGGAGCUCCUCGUCAUGUCCGUGAUCUCAUCUGGGACUCCGAACAACAUACAGUCACCAACAUACAUAACUCGUAUAGUACUAUAUCAUCAGCGAACGUUAAGCGUGUGGACCCUACGGGUUCAAGAACUAUGUAGACAUGACCGAGACACCUCUCUGGUCAAUAACCAAUAGCAGAACCUAGAUGCCCAUAUUGGCCCCCACAUAUUCUACGAAGAUCUUUAUCGGUCGAACCUUAUGACAACAUACGUAAUUCCCUUUGUCAUUGGUAUGUUACUUGCCCGAGAUUCGAUCGUCGGUAUCCUCAUACCUAGUUCAAUCUCGUUACCGGCAAGUCUCUUUACUUGUUCUGUAAUGCAUCAUCCCACAACUAACUCAUUAGUCACAUUGCUUGCAAGGCUUAUAGUGAUGUGCAUUAUCGAGAGGGCCCAGAGAUACCUCUCUGAUACUCGGAGUGACAAAUCCUAAUCUCGAUCUAUGCCAACCCAACAAACACCUUCGGAGACACCUAUAGAGCAUCUUUAUAAUCACCCAGUUACGUUGUGACGUUUGAUAGCACACAAGGUGUUCCUCGGUAUUCGGGAGUUGCAUAAUCUCAUAGUCAAAGGAAUAUGUAUAAGUCAUGAAGAAAGCAAUAGCAAUAAAACUUAACAAUCAUUAUGCUAAGCUAAGGGAUGGGUCUUGUCCAUCACAUCAUUCUCCUAAUUAUGUGAUCAUGUUCAUCAAAUGAUAACACAUGUCUAUGGUUAGGAAACUUAACCAUCUUUGAUUAACGGGCUAGUCAAGUAGAGGCAUACUAGGGACACUUUGUUUUGUCUAUGUAUUCACACAUGUAUCAAGUUUUCGGCUAAUACAAUUCUAGCAUGAAUAAUAAACAUUUAUCAUGAUAUAAGGAAAUAUAAAAUAACAACUUUAUUAUUGCCUCUAGGGCAUAUUUCCUUCAAGGGCUUGAUCCCUAGUAUCCACUAUGUCCUGAGAUUGAUGUUGCUAUGACUUUGCUAUGCUUAAUGCUUGUCACUAGGGCCUGAGUGCCAUGAUUUCAGAUCUGAACCGUUUAUGUUUUCACCAUUAUAUCUAUAUUCUAGAUCCGAUCUUGCAAGCCAUAUGCACCUAUUACAUGUUAUGAUCCGUAAACACCAAGGUGACAGUAAUUGGGAUACUUUCCGGUGAUGACCGUAGUUUGAGGAGUUCAUCUAUUCACUAUGUGUUAAUGCUUUUUUCCGGUUCUCUACUAAAAGAAGGCCUUAAUAUCACUUAGUUUCCUUAUGGACCCCGCUACCACGGGAGGGUUGGACAAAAGAUGUCAUACAAGUUCUUUUACGUAAGCAUGUAUGACUAUUUAUGGAAUACAUGCCUACAUUAUAUUUAUGAACUGGAGCUAGUUCUGUGUCGCCCUAGGUUAAGACUGUUAUUUGAUGAAUAUCAUCCAACGAAUUCACUGAUCUAAUGCCUACGAGUUUUUCUUGUCCAACUUCAACUAAUUUUCUCAAGUUUGAAAAUAAUUAAUGGGUACAUCAUAGAAGAUGUCCAAGAUAAUAUAUUUGUAUGUGAAAGUUCUUCUCUUGCUCAUAGUAAUCAUUCAUGAAUUGCUUAUAUGACCAAUAUUGUGAUUGUCAAGCUUCAAUAGAUUUCACUUUCUAAACCCAAUGUGAAACUACUAUUAGGGACAGAAAUCACAUAUUUGACAUGAGGGCGAAAUCAAAUCACAAACUGACCUGCUCUCGAAAAAAUUUCACUCUGCUGACCCUUUAGUGUGGCGCCUGACAGCUAGGCGUCGCACACUACUAUGCAGCGCCCUUCCCUUGGGCGUCGCACAUCCAGCCAGCGUGGCAGCCCAGGUCCAGUUGCGGCCCCACAGACAGCACUGCAGCGCCUAAGGCUUGGGCGCCACACUGUGUAAAGUGCAGCGCCUAUCGCUUGGGCGCUGCACAUUGACUUAAGCCGCAUAGGGCCAGCCCCUCCCAGGUAGUUCUUCCCCCUCUGAGGAAGUUGCUCUCUGUAAAGAGAGCGGCGGUGACGGCGCCCCCUUCGGAUCCCCCCCCCNNNNNNNNNNNNNNNNNNNNNNNNNNNNNNNNNNNNNNNNNNNNNNNNNNNNNNNNNNNNNNNNNNNNNNNNNNNNNNNNNNNNNNNNNNNNNNNNNNNNNNNNNNNNNNNNNNNNNNNNNNNNNNNNNNNNNNNNNNNNNNNNNNNNNNNNNNNNNNNNNNNNNNNNNNNNNNNNNNNNNNNNNNNNNNNNNNNNNNNNNNNNNNNNNNNNNNNNNNNNNNNNNNNNNNNNNNNNNNNNNNNNNNNNNNNNNNNNNNNNNNNNNNNNNNNNNNNNNNNNNNNNNNNNNNNNNNNNNNNNNNNNNNNNNNNNNNNNNNNNNNNCCAAUCCCUCCUACUAGGUAAACUCCUCUGUUUCCCUUUCUUUUCCUCCGUAAAUGCGUUGCAAUUUUAGGGAUUUGCCCAAGAUUAGGUGGAACCUUUGAUUUGCUUGGUUUGGAUCUUUGUUUGCCCAAGAUUAGGUGGAACCUUUGGUCCCCCCCGCCCCCACACUAUAUGAUUCUUGUUAGUGAAACCUAGAUUGCAAUUUUUUUAGAUAUAUAUGAGAUGCCUAGUUUCGUAGAUAAUUAUGAGAUGUUGAGUUUUGUAGCUAUAUGUGAGAUGUUGAGUUUUUUUAGAUAUAUAUUAAAUAUUGAGUUUAUUUGAAAUAUGAGAUGUUGAUUUACUUGAACACAUAUGACAUACUAGAUAUAUAUGAGAAUUUACAAUCAUUUAUUCAUUGUGUGAGGAGAUGUUGAUAUUCUUGUAGAUGAAUACAUAUGAGAUGUUUAGAUGAACACAUAUGAAAUGUUGAGUGUUUACCGAUAUUUGAGAUGAACUCAUAUAUGUUUAUUGUUUGAAAUUUGUAAGGAUGGUUUGGCUUCUCGACGAUGUCUACGACACGAAACACCGGGCCUACAUGACGCGCGAGAAGGAGAUGGUAAUAACGAGUAAUCUAAAUAUUUUGCAAAUUUGCCUUAAGUUGAAAUUUGCAUGCCCUAAGAUUUGUCAUUACUUGUUUUUUGCAGAAGCUUGUUUGAAGAUUCGGUAUCACGGGGUCUCUGGUCCUGCCAUGCCUUACGAUGAGCGGUACACACCGUACAUCAAGCAGGCAGGACUACUCCCAUGGAUUCAGUUGGUCAGCCGGUCCACGCCGAAUCUGAACGCUCCACUGGUGUCCGCUCUUGCUGAUCGGUGGAGGCCGGAGACACACAGUUUCCAUCUUCGGACUGGGGAGAUGACCGUGAUGCUCGAGGAUGUCUCGUUGAUCACCGGUCUUGCUAUCGACGGGAUGUCUCUCUGUAUGAGCAUUGAUUCUGAUGGGUGGCGCGAGCAGAUGAUUUCUCUUAUCGGUAUGGCUCCUACCGAGGCUGAGGCUGAUGUAGAGGAGGGAGAAGAGAAUAAGAAGAGGGAAAGGAAAGCAGCCGGAGCUGCUUUCACGUGGAUUCAAAAUAACUUUGCGACGUGCCCUCCGGAUGCCACUGAUGAUGUGAUCCAGACACAUGCUCGUGUCUACAUGUGGUACGUUGUGUCGAGGACUUCGUUUCCUGACUCCACUGGCAAGAACGCUCCAUGGAUGUGGCUGAAGGCAUUGACCAUCUUCGAUAGCAAAUGGAGCUGGGGUUCAUCGACUCUUGCCUACUUGUACCGACAGGUAGUUGGUCUGUUUUGUGAUCAACUCAUUUCUUCAUUAGCAAUGCAAGCUUGCUGUCAAGUUAACAUUGUUUUUCUUUCAUAUGCAGCUAGACGAUGCGUGUUGCAGGAUCACAUAUAGUGCAGGCAUUGGUGGUAAUAUGCUUCUACUUUCUGUAUGGAGCUGGGAGCGUCUGCCUGUUGGACGCCCAAAGAGCGUCAGGUUUAAUCCUUGGUAUGAAGAUGAAGAUGACGAAUUACGGCGCCCCACUUGGGCUUACAAGUGGGAUGUGGUUUCCGAGAUGACGAACGAUGUCAAUCUCAUGUACCAAAAGUACGUUGCCAAGUUAGACACGAUUACUGUUGGGGAACGUAGUAAUUUCAAAAAUUUCCUACGCACACACAAGAUCAUGGUGAUGCAUAGCAAUGAGAGGGGAGAGUGUUGUCUACGUACCCUCGUAGACCGAAGCGGAAGCGUUGACGCAACGUAGAGGAAGUAGUCGUACAUCUUCCCGGUCCAACCGAUCCAAGCACCGUUACUCCGGCACCUCCGAGUUCUUGACACACGUACAGCUCGAUGACGCGCCCCGGGCUCCGAUCCAGCAAAGCUUCGGGGAGGAGUUCCGUCAGCACGACGGCGUGGUGACGAUAUUGAUGUUCAACCUUCGCAGGGCUUCGCCUAAGCACUGCUACAAUAUGACCGAGGUGUAAUAUCGUGGAGGGGGGCACCGCACACGGCCAAGGAACGAUCACGAAGAUCAACUUGUGUGUCCAUGGGGUGCGCCCUGCCCCCGUAUUUUAAGGAGUGGAGGAGGAGAGGGCCGGCCCUCUCUAUGGCGCGCCCUAGGGGAGUCCUACUCCCACCGGGAGUAGGAUUCCCCCUUUCCUAGUCCAACUAGGAGUCCUUCCAUGUAGUGGGAGUAGGAGACAAGGAAGGGGAAGGGAGAAGGGAAGGAAGGAGGGGGCGCAGCCCCUCCCCCUAGUCCAAUUCGGACUAGGCCUUGGGGGGCGCGCGGCCUGCCCUAGGCAGCCCAUCUCUCUUUCCCGUAUGGCCCAAUAAGGCCCAAUACUUCUCCCCCGUAUUUCCGUAACUCCCCGGUACUCCGAAAAAUACCCGAACCACUCAGAACCUUUCCGAUGUCCGAAUAUAGUCGUCCAAUAUAUCGAUCUUUACGUAUCGACCAUUUCGAGACUCCUCGUCAUGUCCACAGUCCCAUCCGGGACUCCGAACUCCUUCGGUACAUCAAAACUCAUAAACUCAUAAUAUAACUGUCAUCGAAACCUUAAGCGUGCGGACCCUACGGUUCGAGAACAAUGUAGACAUGACCGAGACAUGUCUCCGGUCAAUAACCAAUAGCGGAACCUGGAUGCUCAUAUUGGCUCCUACAUAUUCUACGAAGAUCUUUAUCGGUCACACCGCAUAACAACAUACGUUGUUCCCUUUGUCAUCGGUAUGUUACUUGCCCGAGAUUCGAUCGUCGGUAUCUCAAUACCUAGUUCAAUCUCGUUACCGGCAAGUCUCUUUACUCGUUCUGUAAUACAUCAUCUCGCAACUAACUCAUUAGUUGCAAUGCUUGCAAGGCUUAAGUGAUGUGCAUUACCGAGAGGGCCCAGAGAUACCUCUCCGACAUUCGGAGUGACAAAUCCUAAUAUUGAAAUACGCCAACCCAACAAGUACCUUCGGAGACACCUGUAGAGCACCUUUAUAAUCACCCAGUUACGUUGUGACGUUUGGUAGCACACAAAGUGUUCCUCCGGUAAACGGGAGUUGCAUAAUCUCAUAGUCAUAGGAACAUGUAUAAGUCAUGAAGAAAGCAAUAGCAACAUACUUAAACGAUCGAGUGCUAAGCUAACGAAUGGGUCAUGUCAAUCACAUCAUUCUCCUAAUGAUGUGAUCCCAUUAAUCAAAUGACAACGCAUGUCUAUGGCUAGGAAACUUAACCAUGUUUGAUCAACGAGGUAGUCAAGUAGAGGCAUACUAGUGACACUCUGUUUGUCUAUGUAUUCACACAUGUAUUAUGUUUUCGGUUAAUACAAUUCUAGCAUAAAUAAUAAACAUUUAUCAUGAAAUAAGGAAAUAAAUAAUAACUUUAUUAUUGCCUCUAGGGCAUAUUUCCUUCAGUCUCCCACUUGCACUAGAGUCAAUAAUCUAGUUCACAUCGCCAUGUGAUUUAACAGCAAUAGUUCACAUCACCAUGUGAUUAACACCCAUAGUUCACAUCGAUAUGUGACCAACACCCAAAGGGUUUACUAGAGUCAAUAAUCUAGUUCACAUCGCUAUGUGAUUAACACCCAAAGAGUACUAAGGUGUGAUCAUGUUUUGUUUGUGAGAGAAGUUUAGUCAACGGGUCUGCCACAUUCAGAUCCAUAUGUAUUUUUGCAAAUUUCUAUGUCAACAAUGCUCUGCAAGGAGCUACUGUAGCUAAUUGCUCCCACUUUCAAUAUGUAUCCAGAUUGAGACUUAGAGUCAUCUAGAUCAGUGUCAAAAUUUGCAUCGACGUAACCCUUUACGACGAACCUUUUGUCUCCUCCAUAAUCGAGAAAUAUAUCCUUAUUCCACUAAGGAUAAUUUUGACCGCUGUCCAGUGAUCUACUCCUAGAUCACUAUUGUACUCCCUUGCUAAACACAGUGUAGGGUAUACAAUAGAUCUGGUACACAGCAUGGCAUACUUUAUAGAACCUAUGGCCAACGCAUAGGGAAUGACUUUCAUUCUCUUUCUAUCUUCUACGGUGGUCGGGUUUUGAGUCUUACUCAAUUUCACACCUUGUAACACAGGCAAGAACUCUUUCUUUGACUGUUCCAUUUUGAACUACUUCAAAAACUUGUCAAGGUAUGUACUCAUUGAAAACUUAUCAAGUGUCUUGAUCUAUCUCUAUAGAUCUUGAUGCUUAAUAUGUAAGCAGCUUCACCGAGGUUCUUCUUUGAAAAACUCCUUUCAAAUACUCCUUUAUGCUUUGCAGAAUAAUUCUACAUUAUUUCCGAUCAACAAUAUGUCAUUUACAUAUACUUAUCAGAAAUGUUGUAGUGCUCCCACUCACUUUCUUGUAAAUACAGGCUUCACCGCAAGUCUGUAUAAAACUAUAUGCUUUGAUUAACUUAUCAAAGCGUAUAUUCCAACUUCGACAUGCUUGCACCAGUCCAUAGAUGGAUCGCUGGAGCUUGCAUAUUUUGUUAACACCUUUAGGAUCGACAAAACCUUCUAGUUGCAUCGUAUACAACUCUUCUUUAAUAAAUCCAUUAAGGAAUGCAGUUUUGUUUAUCCAUUUGCCGGAUUUCAUAAAAUGCGGCAAUUGCUAACAUGAUUCGGACAGACUUAAGCAUAGAUACGAGUGAGAAACUCUCAUCGUAGUCAACACCUUGAACUUGUCAAAAACUUUUUGCGACAAUUCUAGAUUUGUAGAUAGUAACACUACUAUCAGCGUCUGUCUUCCUCUUGAAGAUCCAUUUAUUUUCUAUGGCUUGCCGAUCAUCGGGCAAAUCCAUCAAAGUCCAUACUUUGUUCUCAUACAUGGAUCCCAACUCAGAUUUCAUGGCCUCAAACCAUUUUGUGGAAUCUGGGCUCAUCAUCGCUUCCUCAUAGUUCGCAAGUUCAUCAUGGUCUAGUAACAUGACUUCCAGAACAGGAUUACCGUACCACUCUGGUGCGGAUCUCACUCUGGUUUACCUACGAGAUUCGGUAGUAACUUGAUCUGAAGUUACAUGAUCAUCAUCAUUAGCUUCCUCACUAAUUGGUGUAGUAGUCACAGGAACAGAUUUAUGUGAUGAACUACUUUCCAAUAAGGGAGAAGGUACAAUUACCUUAUCAAGUUCUACUUUCCUCCCACUCACUUCUUUCGAGAGAAACUCCUUCUCUAGAAAGGAUCCAUUCUUAGCAACGAAUGUCUUGCCUUUGGAUCUGUGAUAGAAGGUGUACCCAACUAACUCUUUGGGUAUCCUAUGAGGGACAUUUACAUCUAUGCCCCUAACUCGAACCCACUACUCAUAUUUGCCCCUAAUUUUGAAGCAUGCUCAAAUUUGCCCCUCCGCCGUUAAGUCACUACUCAGAAAUGCCCUUCCGUACAGUACUGUAGCACUUUCCGUCCAAUGCUGUAGCACUUUCCAUCUGCUACAGUACACAUGGGCCUUUGACGGUCAAAGGCCUUUGACUGGACGGAAGGGCAUUUCUGAGUAGUGACUUAACGACAGAGGGGCAAAUUUGAGCAUGCUUUGAAAUUAGGGGCAAAUCUGAGUAGGUGGUUCGAGUUAGGGGCAAAAAUGCAAAUGGCCCAUCCUAUGAAGACACAUUUCUCCGAUUUGGGUUUGAGCUUAUCAUGUUGAAACUUUUUCACAUAAGCAUCGCAAUCCCAAACUUUAAGAAACGACAACUUAGGUUUCUUGCCAAACCAUAGUUCAUACGGUGUCGUCUCAACGGAUUUUGAUGGUGCCCUAUUUAACGUGAAUGCAGCUGUCUCUAAUGCAUGACCCCAAAACGAUAGUGGUAAAUCGGUAAGAAACAUCAUAGAUUGUACUAUAUCCAAUAAAGUACGAUUAUGACGUUCGGACACACCAUUAUGCUGUGGUGUUCCAGGUGGCAUGAGUUUGUGAAACUAUUCCACAUUGUUUUAAUUGAAGGCCAAACUCAUAACUCAAAUAUUUGUCUCCGCGAUCAGAUCGUAGAAACUUUAUUUUCUUGUCACGAUGAUUUUCCACUUCACUCUGAAAAUUCUUUGAACUUUUCAAAUGUUUUAGACUUAUGUUUCAUCAAGUAGAUAUACUCAUAUCUGCUCAAAUCAUCUGUGAAGGUUAGAAAAUAAUGAUACCUGCUGCAAGCCUUAAUAUUCAUCGGACCACAUACAUCAGUAUGUAUGAUUUCCAACAAAUCUGUUGCUUGCUUCAUUGUUCCGGAGAACGGCGUUUUAGUCAUCUUGCCCAAGAGGCAUGGUUCGGAAGCAUCAAAUGAUUCAUAAUCAAGUGAUUCCAAAGUCCCAUCAGCAUGGAGUUUUUUCAUGCGCUUUACACCAAUAUGACUUAAACAGCAGUGCCACAAAUAAGUUGCACUAUCAUUAUUAACUUUGCAUAUUUUGGCUUCAAUAUUAUGAAUAUGUGUAUUAUUACGAUCGAGAUCCAACAAACCAUUUUCGUUGGUGUGUAUGACCAUAGAAGGUUCUAUUCAUGUAAACAGAACAAGAAUUUAUUCUCUUACUUAAAUGAAUAACCGUAUUGCAAUAAACAUGAUCAAAUCAUAUUCAUGCUCAACGCAAACACCAAAUAACACUUAUUUAGGUUCAACACUAAUCCCGAAAGUAUAGGGAGUGUGCGAUGAUGAUCAUAUCAAUUUUGGAACCACUUCCAACACACAUCGUGUUGGGGAUCGUAGCAGAAAUUAAAAUUUUCCUACGCAUCACCAAGAUCUAUCCAUGGAGUAUUCUAGCAACGAGGGGAUAGGAGAGCAUCUACAUACCACUUGUAGAUCGCAACGGAAGCGUUCAAGAAGAACGUGGAUGAUGGAGUCGUACUCGUCGUGAUCCAAAUCACCGAUGACCAGCGCCGAACGGACGGCACCUCCGCGUUCAACACACGUACGGUCGGGAUGACGUCUCCUCCUUCUUGAUCCAGCAAGGGGGAAGGAGAGGUUGAUGAAGAUCCAGCAGCACGACGGCGUGGUGGUGGAUGCAGCAGAGUUCCAGCAGGGCUUCGCCAAGCUUCUGUGAAGAGAGGGAGAGGUGUAACGGGGAGAGGGAGGCGCCAAUGCAGCAGGGGUGCGGCUGCCCUCCCUCCCCCCCCCCUUUAUAUAGGCCCCCUAAGGGGGGGCGCAGCCCUGGAGAUGGAUCUCCAGGGGGGCGGCGGCCAAGGGGGUGCCUUGCCCCCCAAGGCAAGUGUGGCGCCCCCUGCCCUAGGGUUUCCAACCCUAGGCGUAGGGGAAAGGCCCAUGGGGGGCGCACCAGCCCACUAUGGGCUGGUUCCCUCCCACUUCAGCCCACGGGGCCCUCCGGGAUGGGUGGCCCCACCCGGUGGACCCCCAGGACCCAUCUGGUGGUCCCGGUACAAUACCGGUGACCCCCAGAUCCACCCCGAUGGCCGAAACGACACUUCCUAUAUACAAUUCUUCACCUCCGGACCAAUCCGGAACCUCUCGUGACGUCCGGGAUCUCAUCCGGGACUCCGAACAACCUUCGGUUUGCUGCAUACUAAUAUCUUUACAACCCUAGCGUCACCGAACCUUAAGUGUGUAGACCCUACGGGUUCGGGAGACAUGCAGACAUGACCGAGACGAUCUCCGGUCAAUAACCAACAGCGGGAUCUGGAUACCCAUGUUGUCUCCCACAUGCUCCUCGAUGAUCUCAUCGGAUGAACCACGAUGUCGAGGACUUAAUCAAUCCCGUACUCAAUUCCCUUCGUCUAGCGGUACGAUACUUGCCCGAGAUUCGAUCGUCGGUAUACCGAUACCUUGUUCAAUCUCGUUACCGGCAAGUCUCUUUACUCGUUCCCGUAACACAUCAUCCCGUGAUCAACACCUUGAUCACAUUGAGCUCAUUAUAAUGAUGUCUUACCGAGUGGGCCCAGAGAUACCUCUUCGUCAUACGGAGUGACAAAUCCCAGUCUCGAUUCAUGCCAACCCAACAAACACUUUCGGAGAUACCUGUAGUGCACCUUUAUAGUCACCCAGUUACGUUGUGAUGUUUGAUACACCCAAAGCAUUCCUACGGUAUCCGGGAGUUGCAUAAUCUCAUGGUCUAAGGAAUGAUACUUGACAUUCAGAAAAAGCUCUAGCAAACGAACUACACGAUCUUUGUGCUAUGCUUAGGUUUGGGUCUUGUCCAUCACAUCAUUCUCCUAAUGAUGUGAUCCCGUUAUCAAUGACAUCCCCAUGUCCAUAGUCAGGAAACCAUGACUAUCUAUUGAUCAACGAGCUAGUCAACUAGAGGCUUACUAGGGACACAUUGUGGUCUAUGUAUUCACACAUGUAUUAUGAUUUCCGAACAAUACAAGUUAUAGCAUGAACAAUAGACAAUUAUCAUGAACAAGGAAAUAUAAUAAUCCAUUUAUUAUUGCCUCUAGGGCAUAUUUCCAACAGUCUCCCACUUGCACUAGAGACAAUAGUCUAGUUACAUUGUGAUGAAUCGCACACCCAUGGAAUUUUGGUGUUGAUCAUGUUUUGCUCUAGGGAGAGGUUUAGUCAACGGAUCUGCCACAUUCAGGUCUGUAUGUACUUUACAAAUCUCUAUGUCUCCAUUUUGAACACUUUCACGAAUGGAUUUGAAGCGAUGCUUGAUAUCCCUGGUCUUCCUGUGAAACCUGGGCUCCUUCGCAAGGGCAAUUGCUCCAGUGUUGUCACAGAAGAGAGUCAUCGGGUCUGACGCAUUGGGUAUGACUCCUAGGUCGGUAAUGAACUCCUUCACCCAGACUGCUUCUUGUGCUGCCUCCGAGGCUGCCAUAUACUCUGCUUCACAUGUAGAUCCCGCCACGACGCUUUGCUUGCAACUGCACCAGCUUACUACCCCUCCAUUCAAAAUAUACACGUAUCUGGUUUGUGACUUGGAGUCAUCCAGAUCUGUGUCGAAGCUGGCGUCGACGUAACCCUUUACGACGAGCUCUUCGGCACCUCCAUAAACGAGAAACAUAUCCUUAGUCCUUUUCAGGUACUUCAGGAUGUUUUUGACCGCUGUCCAGUGUUCCUUGCCGGGAUUACUUUGGUACCUACCUACCAAACUUACGGCAAGGUUUACAUCGGGUCUGGUACACAGCAUGGCAUACAUAAUAGACCCUAUAGCUGAGGCAUAGGGGAUGACACUCAUCUCUUCUAUAUCUUUUGCCGUGGUCGGACAUUGAGCCGUGCUCAAUCGCACACCUUGCAAUACAGGCAAGAACCCCUUCUUGGACUGAUCCAUUUUGAACUUCUUCAAAAUCUUGUCAAGGUACGUACUUUGCGAAAGACCGAUGAGGCGUCUCGAUCUAUCUCUAUAGAUCUUGAUGCCUAAUAUAUAAGCAGCUUCUCCAAGGUCCUUCAUUGAAAAACACUUGUUCAAAUAGGCCUUUAUGCUUUCCAAGAAUUCUAUAUCAUUUCCCAUCAAUAGUAUGUCAUCCACAUAUAAUAUGAGAAAUGCUACGGAGCUCCCACUCACUUUCUUGUAAACGCGGGCUUCUCCAUAAGUCUGCAUAAACCCAAACGCUUUGAUCAUCUCAUCAAAGCGAAUGUUCCAACUCCGAGAUGCUUGCACCAGCCCAUAGAUAGAGUGCUGGAGCUUGCAUACUUUGUUAGCAUUCUUAGGAUCGACAAAACCUUCCGGCUGCAUCAUAUACAAUUCUUCUUUAAGGAAGCCGUUAAGGAAUGCCGUUUUGACGUCCAUUUGCCAUAUCUCAUAAUCAUAGUAUGCGGCAAUUGCUAACAUGAUUCGGACGGACUUCAGCUUCGCUACGGGUGGGAGAGUCUCAUCAUAGUCAACCCCUUGAACUUGUCGAUAACCCUUAGCGACAAGUCGAGCUUUAUAGAUGGUCACAUUACCAUCCGCGUCUGUCUUCUUCUUAAAGAUCCAUUUAUUUUCUAUGGCUCGCCGACCAUCGGGCAAGUCAUUCAAAGUCCACACUUUGUUUUCAUACAUGGAUUCUAUCUCGGAUUUCAUGGCUUCUAGCCAUUUGUCGGAAUCUGGGCCCGCCAUCGCUUCUUCAUAGUUCGGAGGUUCACCGUUGUCCAACAACAUGAUUUCCAGGACAGGGUUGCCGUACCACUCUGGUGCGGAACGUGUCCUUGUGGACCUACGAAGUUCGGUAGGAGUUUGAUCAGAAGUAUCUUGAUCAUUAUCAUUAACCUCCUCUUGAAUCGGUGCAGGCACCACAGGAACAUUUUCCUGAGCUGCGCUACUCUGAUUUUCAAGAGGUAGUACUUCAUCAAGCUCUACUUUCCUCCCACUUACUUCUUUUGAGAGGAACUCUUUCUCUAGAAAGGACCCGUUCUUGGCAACAAAGAUCUUGCCUUCGGAUCUGAGGUAGAAGGUAUACCCAACUAUUUCUUUGGGAUAUCCUAUGAAGACGCAUUUUUCUGAUUUGGGUUCGAGCUUUUCAGGUUGAAGUCUCUUGACAUAAGCAUCGCAGCCCCAAACUUUCAAAAACGACAGCUUAGGUUUCUUUCCAAACCAUAAUUCAUACGGUGUCGUCUCAACGGAUUUUGACGGAGCCCUAUUUAAAGUGAAUGCGGCUGUCUCUAGAGCAUAUCCCCAAAAUGAUAGCGGUAGAUCUGUAAGAGACAUCAUAGACCGCACCAUAUCCAAUAGAGUGCGAUUACGACGUUCAGACACACCGUUACGCUGAGGUGUUCCAGGCGGCGUGAGUUGUGAAACGAUUCCACAUUUUCUUAAGUGUGUGCCAAAUUCGUGACUCAAGUAUUCUCCUCCACGAUCUGAUCGUAGAAACUUGAUUUUUCUGUCACGUUGAUUUUCAACCUCACUCUGAAACUCCUUGAACUUUUCAAAGGUCUCAGACUUGUGUUUCAUUAAGUAGACAUACCCAUAUCUACUCAAAUCUUCAGUGAGAGUGAGAACAUAACGAUAGCCUCCGCGAGCCUCAACGCUCAUUGGACCACACACAUCUGUAUGUAUGAUUUCCAACAAGUUGGUUGCUCGCUCCAUUGUCCCUGAGAAUGGAGUCUUGGUCAUUUUGCCCAUGAGGCAUGGUUCGCACGUGUCAAAUGAUUCAUAAUCGAGAGACUCUAAAAGUCCAUCAGCAUGGAGCUUCUUCAUGCGCUUGACACCAAUGUGACCAAGGCGGCAGUGCCACAAGUAUGUGGGACUAUUGUUAUCAACUUUGCAUCUUUUGGUAUUCACAUUAUGAAUAUGUGUAACAUCACGUACGAGAUUCAUUAAGAAUAAACCAUUAACCAUCGGAGCAUGACCAUAAAACAUAUCACUCAUAUAAAUAGAACAACCAUUAUUCUCGGAUUUAAAUGAGUAGCCAUCUCGCAUUAAACGAGAUCCAGAUACAAUGUUCAUGCUCAAACUUGGCACUAAAUAACAAUUAUUGAGGUUUAAAACUAAUCCCGUAGGUAAAUGUAGAGGCAGCGUGCCGACGGCGAUCACAUCGACCCUGGAACCAUUCCCGACGCGCAUCGUCACCUCGUCCUUCGCCAGUCUCCGUUUAUUCCGCAGCUCCUGUUUUGAGUUACAAAUAUGAGCAAUGGCACCGGUAUCAAAUACCCAGGAGCUACUACGAGCACUGGUAAGGUACACAUUAAUUACAUGUAUAUCACAUAUACCUUUAGUGUUGCCGGCCUUCUUAUCCGCUAAGUACUUGGGGCAAUUCCGCUUCCAGUGACCAGUUCCCUUGCAAUAAAAGCACUCAGUUUCAGGUUUGGGUCCAUUCUUUGACUUCUUCCUGGCAACUGAUUUACCAGGCGCGGCAACCUCCUUGCCGUCCUUCUUGAAGUUCUUCUUACCCUUGCCUUUCUUGAACUUAGUGGUUUUAUUCACCAUCAACACUUGAUGUUCCUUUUUGAUCUCCACCUCUGCAGAUUUCAGCAUUGAAUACAACUCGGGAAUGAUCUUUUCCAUCCCCUGCAUAUUGUAGUUCAUCACGAAGCUCUUGUAGCUAGGUGGGAGCGACUGAAGGAUUCUGUCAAUGACCGCCUCAUCCGGAAGAUUAACUUCUAGCUGAGUCAAGCGGUUGUGCAACCCAGACAUCUUGAGUAUGUGCUCACUGACAGAGCUAUUUUCCUCCAUCUUGCAGCUAAAGAACUUGUCGGAGACAUCAUAUCUCUCGACCCGGGCAUGAGCUUGGAAAAUCAAUUUCAGAUCCUCGAACAUCUCAUAUGCUCCGUGUUGCUCAAAACGCUUUUGGAGCCCCGGUUCUAAGCUGUAAAGCAUGCCGCACUGAACGAGGGAGUAAUCAUCAGUACGUGACUGAUGGGCGUUCAUAACGUCCUAGUUUUCUGGGAAUGGUGCUUCACCUAGCGGUGCUUCUAGGACAUAAUCUUUCUUGGCUGCAAUGAGGAUGAUCCUCAGGUUCCGGACCCAGUCCGAAUAGUUGCUGCCAUCAUCUUUCAGCUUGGUUUUCUCUAGGAACGCGUUGAAGUUGAGGGUGACAUUACCGUGGGCCAUUUGAUCUACAAGACAUAUUGUAAAGAUUUAGACUAAGUUCAUGAUAAUUAAGUUCAUCUAAUCAAAUUAGUGAAUGAACUCCCACUCAGAUUUGACAUCCCUCUAGUCAUCUAAGUGAUACAUGAUCCGAGUCAACUAGGCCGUGUCCGAUCAUCACGUGAGACGGACUAGUUAUCAUCGGUGAACAUCUCCAUGUUGAUCGUGUCUUCCAUACGACUCAUGUUCGACCUUUCGGUCCUCCGUGUUCCGAGGCCAUGUCUGUACAUGCUAGGCUCGUCAAUCCAACCUAAGUGUAUUGCGUGUGUAAAUCUGGCUUACACCCGUUGUAUGCGAACGUAAGGACCUAUCACACCCGAUCAUCACGUGGUGCUUCGGAACGACGAACCUUAGCAACGGUGCACAGUUAGGGAGAACACAUUUUUGAUAUUUAAAUGAGGGAUCAUCUUAUUUAUGCUACCGUCGUUCUAAGCAAAUAAGAUGUAAAACAUGAUAAACAUCACAUGCAAUCAAAUAGUGACAUGAUAUGGCCAACAUCAUUUCGCUCCUUUGAUCUCCAUCUUCAGGGCGCCAUGUUCAUCGUCGUCACCGGCAUGACACCAUGAUCUCGAUCAUCAUGAUCUCCAUCAUCGUGUCUUCGUGAAGUUGUCACGUCAACUAUUACUUCUACUACUAUGGCUAACGCUUUAGCAAUAAAGUAAAGUAAUUACAUGACGAUUUAAGUUGACACGCAGGUCAUAAAUAAAUAAAGACAACUCCUAUGGCUCCUGCCGGUUGUCAUACUCAUCGACAUGCAAGUCGUGAUUCCUAUUACAAUAACAAGAUCAUCUCAUACAUCACAUACAUGAUUCAUCACAACUUCUGGCCAUAUCACAUCACAAAGCACUUGCUGCAAAAACAAGUUAGACGUCCUCUAAUUGUUGUUGCAAGUUUUUACGUGGCUGUUAUAGGUUGCUAGCAAGAACGUUUCUUACCUACAUUGAAACCACAACGUGAAUUGUCAAUCUCUAUUUACCCUUCAUAAGGACCCUGUUCAUCGAAUCCGAUCCAACUAAAGUGGGAGAGACAGACACCCGCCAGCCACCUUAUGCAACUAGUGCAUGUUAGUCGGUGGAACCGGUCUCACGUAAGCGUACGUGUAAGGUUGGUCCGGGCCGCUUCAUCCCACAAUACCGCUGAAUCAAUAUAGGACUAGUAACGGCAAGAAGAAUUGACAAUUCAACGCCCACAACUACUUUGUGUUCUACUCGUGCAUAGAAACUACGCAUAGACCUAGCUCAUGAUGCCACUGUUGGGGAUCGUAGCAGAAAUUAAAAUUUUCCUACGCAUCACCAAGAUCUAUCCAUGGAGUAUUCUAGCAACGAGGGGAUAGGAGAGCAUCUACAUACCACUUGUAGAUCGCAACGGAAGCAUUCAAGAAGAACGUGGAUGAUGGAGUUGUACUCGUCGUGAUCCAAAUCACCGAUGACCAGCGCCGAACGGACGGCACCUCCGCGUUCAACACACGUACGGUCGGGAUGACGUAUCCUCCUUCUUGAUCCAGCAAGGGGGAAGGAGAGGUUGAUGAAGAUCCAGCAGCACGACGGCGUGGUGGUGGAUGCAGCAGAGUUCCAGCAGGGCUUCGCCAAGCUUCUGUGGAGAGAGGGAGAGGUGUAACGGGGAGAGGGAGGCGCCAAUGCAGCAGGGGUGCGGCUGCCCUCCCUCCCCCCCUUUAUAUAGGCCCCCUAAGGGGGAGCGCAGCCCUGGAGAUGGAUCUCCAGGGGGCGGCCAAGGGGGGUGCCUUGCCCCCCAAGGCAAGUGUGGCGCCCCCUGCCCUAGGGUUUCCAACCCUAGGCGCAGGGGAAAGGCCCAUGGGGGGCGCACCAGCCCACUAUGGGCUGGUUCCCUCCCCACUUCAGCCCACGGGGGCCUCCGGGAUGGGUGGCCCCACCCGGUGGACCCCCGGGACCCAUCUGGUGGUCCCGGUACAAUACCGGUGACCCCCAGAUCCACCCCGAUGGCCGAAACGACACUUCCUAUAUAUAAUUCUUCACCUCCGGACCAAUCCGGAACCUCUCGUGACGUCCGGGAUCUCAUCCGGGACUCCGAACAACCUUCGGUUUGCUGCAUACUAAUAUCUUUACAACCCUAGCGUCACCGAACCUUAAGUGUGUAGACCCUACGGGUUCGGGAGACAUGCAGACAUGACCGAGACGAUCUCCGGUCAAUAACCAACAGCGGGAUCUGGAUACCCAUGUUGGCUCCCACAUGCUCCUCGAUGAUCUCAUCGGAUGAACCACGAUGUCGAGGACUUAAUCAAUCCCGUACUCAAUUCCCUUCGUCUAGCGGUACGAUACUUGCCCGAGAUUCGAUCGUCGGUAUACCGAUACCUUGUUCAAUCUCGUUACCGGAAAGUCUCUUUACUCGUUCCCGUAACACAUCAUCCCGUGAUCAACACCUUGAUCACAUUGAGCUCAUUAUGAUGAUGUCUUACCGAGUGGGCCCAGAGAUACCUCUUUGUCAUACGGAGUGACAAAUCCCAGUCUCGAUUCAUGCCAACCCAACAAACACUUUCGGAGAUACCUGUAGUGCACCUUUAUAGUCAUCCAGUUACGUUGUGACGUUUGAUACACCCAAAGCAUUCCUACGGUAUCCGGGAGUUGCAUAAUCUCAUGGUCUAAGGAAUGAUACUUGACAUUCAGAAAAAGCUCUAGCAAACGAACUACACGAUCUUUGUGUUAUGCUUAGGUUUGGGUCUUGUCCAUCACAUCAUUCUCCUAAUGAUGUGAUCCCGUUAUCAAUGACAUCCCCAUGUCCAUAGUCAGGAAACCAUGACUAUCUAUUGAUCAACGAGCUAGUCAACUAGAGGCUUACUAGGGACACAUUGUGGUCUAUGUAUUCACACAUGUAUUAUGAUUUCCGAACAAUACAAGUUAUAGCAUGAACAAUAGACAAUUAUCAUGAACAAGGAAAUAUAAUAAUCCAUUUAUUAUUGCCUCUAGGGCAUAUUUCCAACACAUCAUCACUUCACCCUUAACUAGUCUCUGUUCAUUCUGCAACUCCUGUUUCGAGUUACUACUCUUAGCAACUGAAACAGUAUCAAAUACCGAGGGGUUGCUAUGAACACUAGUAAAAUACACAUCAAUAAUCUGUAUAUCAAAUAUACCUUUGUUCACUUUGCCAUCCUUCUUAUCCGCCAAAUACUUGGGGCAGUUCCGCUUCCAGUGACCAGUCCCUUUGCAGUAGAAGCACUCAGUCUCGGGCUUAGGUCCAGAGUUGGGCUUCUUCACUUGAGCAGCAACUUGCUUGCUGUUCUUCUUGAAGUUCCCCUUUUUUCCUUUGCCCUUUUCUUGAAACUAGUGAUCUUGUCAACCAUCAACACUUGAUGCUCUUUCUUGAUUUCUACCUUCAUCGAUUUCAUCAUCAUGAAAAGCUCGGGAGUCGUUUUCGUCAUCCCUUGCAUACUAUAGUUCAUCACGAAGUUCUACUAACUUGGUGAUGGUGACUAGAGAAUUCUGUCAAUCACUAUCUUAUCUGGAAGAUUAACUCCCACUUGAUUCAAGCGAUUGUAGUACCCAGACAAUCUGAGCACAUGUUCACUAGUUGAGCGAUUCUCCUCCAUCUUGUAGCUAUAGAACUUGUUGGAGACUUCAUAUCUCUCAACUCGGGUAUUUGCUUGAAAUAUUCACUUCAACUCCUGGAACAUCUCUUAUGGUCCAUGACGUUCAAAACGUCUUUGAAGUCCCGAUACUAAGCCGUUAAGUAUGGUGCACUAAACUAUCAAGUAGUCAUCAUAUUGAGCUAGCCAAACGUUCAUAACGUCUGCAUCUGCUCCUGCAAUAGGUCUAUCACCUAGCGGUGCAUCAAGGACAUAAUUUUUCUGUGCAGCAAUGAGGAUAAACCUCAUAUCACAGAUCCAAUCCGCAUCAUUGCUACUAACAUCUUUCAACACAAUUUUCUCUAGGAACAUAUCAAAAUAAACAUAUAAAAGCAACAACGCGAGCUAUUGAUCUACAACAUAGAUAUGCUAAUACUACUAGGACUAAGUUCAUGAUAAAUUAAAGUUCAACUAAUCAUAUUACUUAAGAACUCCCACUUAGAUAGACAUCCCUCUAAUCUUCUAAGUGAUCACGUGAUCCAAAUAAAACUAAACCAUAACCGAUCAUCACGUGAAAUGGAUUAGUCUUCAAUGGUGAACAUCAUUAUGUUGAUCAUAUCUACUAUAUGAUUCAUGCUCGACCUUUCGGUCUCCGUGUUCCGAGGCCAUAUCUGCAUAUGCUAGGCUCGUCAAGUAUAACCCGAGUAUUCUACAUGUGCAAAACUGGCUUGCACCCGUUGUAGAUGGACAUAGAGCUUAUCACACCCGAUCAUCACGUGGUGUCUGGGCACGACGAACUUUGGCAACGGUGCAUACUCAGGGAGAACACUUCUUGAUAAUUAGUGAGAGAUCAUCUUAUAAUGCUACCGUCAAUCAAAGAAAGAUAAGAUGCAUAAAAAGAUAAACAUCACAUGCAAUCAAUAUAAGUGAUAUGAUAUGGCCAUCAUCAUCUUGUGCUUUGUGAUCUCCAUCUCCGAAGCACCGUCAUGAUCACCAUCGUCACCGGCGCGACACCUUGAUCUCCAUCAUAGCAUCGUUGUCGUCUCGCCAAUCUUAUGCUUCUACGACUAUCGCUACCGCUUAGUGAUAAAGUAAAGCACUACAGGGAGAUUGCAUUGCAUACAAUAAAGCGACAACCAUAUGGCUCCUGCCAGUUGCCGAUAACUCAGUUACAAAACAUGAUCAUCUCAUACAAUAAAUCUUAGCAUCAUGUCUUGACCAUAUCACAUCACAACAUGCCCUGCAAAAACAAGUUAGACGUCCUCUACUUUGUUGUUGCAUGUUUUACGUGGCUGCUACGGGCUUAGCAAGAACAAAUCUUACCUACGCAUCAAACCACAACGAUAGUUUGUCAAGUUGGUGCUGUUUUAACCUUCGCAAGGACCGGGCGUAGUCACACUCGGUUCAACUAAAGUUGGAGAAACUGACACCCGCUAGCCACCUGUGUGCAAAGCACGGCGGUAGAACCAGUCUCGCGUAAGCGUACGCGUAAUGUCGGUCCGGGCCGCUUCAUCCAACAAUACCGCCGAACCAAAGUAUGACAUGCUGGUAAGCAGUAUGACUUAUAUCGCCCACAACUCACUUGUGUUCUACUCGUGCAUAUAACAUCAAACCAUAAAACCUAGGCUCGGAUGCCAGUGUUGAGGAACGUAGUAAUUUCAAAAAUUUCCUACGCACACACAAGAUCAUGGUGAUGCAUAGCAACGAGAGGGGAGAGUGUUGUCUACGUACCCUCGUAGACCAAAGCGGAAGCGUUGACACAACGUAGAGGAAGUAGUCGUACAUCUUCCCGGUCCAACCGAUUCAAGCACCGUUACUCUGGCACCUCCGAGUUCUUGGCACACGUACAGCUCGAUGACGCACCCCGGGCUCCGAUCCAGCAAAGCUUCGGGGAGGAGUUCCGUCAGCACGACGGCGUGGUGACGAUCUUGAUGUUCAACCGUCGCAGGGCUUCGCCUAAGCACCGCUACAAUAUGACCCAGGUGUAAUAUCAUGGAGGGGGCACCGCACACGGCUAAGGAACGAUCACGAAGAUCAACUUGUGUGUCCAUGGGAUGCCCCCUGCCCCCGUAUAUAAAGGAGUGGAGGAGGAGAGGGCCGGCCCUCUCUAUGGCGCGCCCUAGGGGAGUCCUACUCCCACCGGGAGUAGGAUUCCCCCUUUCCUAGUCCAACUAGGAGUCCUUCCAUGUAGUGGGAGUAGGAGACAAGGAAGGGGAAGGGAGAAGGGAAGGAAGGAGGGGGCGCAGCCCCUCCCCCUAGUCCAAUUCGGACUAGGCCUUGGGGGGCGCGCGGCCUGCCCUAGGCAGCCCCUCUCUCUUUCCCGUAUGGCCCAAUAAGGCCCAAUACUUCUCCCCCGUAUUCCCGUAACUCCCCGGUACUCCGAAAAAUACCCGAACCACUCAGAACCUUUCCGAUGUCCGAAUAUAGUCAUCCAAUUUAUCGAUCUUUACGUCUCGACCAUUUAGAGACUCCUCGUCAUGUCCCCGAUCCCAUCCGGGACUCCGAACUCCUUCGGUACAUCAAAACUCAUAAACUCAUAAUAUAACUGUCAUCGAAACCUUAAGCGUGCGGACCCUACGGUUCGAGAACAAUGUAGACAUGACCGAGACAUGUCUCCGGUCAAUAACCAAUAACGGAACCUGGAUGCUCAUAUUGGCUCCUAGAUAUUCUAUGAAGAUCUUUAUCGGCCAGACCGCAUAACAACAUACGUUGUUCCCUUUGUCAUCGGUAUGUUACUUGCCCGAGAUUCGAUCGUCGGUAUCUCAAUACCUAGUUCAAUCUCGUUACCGGCAAGUCUCUUUACUCGUUCUGUAAUACAUCAUCUCGCAACUAACUCAUUAGUUGCAAUGCUUGCAAGGCUUAAGUGAUGUGCAUUACCGAGAGGGCCCAGAGAUACCUCUCCGACAUUCGGAGUGACAAAUCAUAAUCUCGAAAUACGCCAACCCAACAAGUACCUUCGGAGACACCUGUAGAGCACCUUUAUAAUCACCCAGUUACGUUGUGACGUUUGGUAGCACACAAAGUGUUCCUCCGGUAAACGGGAGUUGCAUAAUCUCAUAGUCAUAGGAACAUGUAUAAGUCAUGAAGAAAGCAAUAGCAACAUACUUAAACGAUCGAGUGCUAAGCUAACGAAUGGGUCAUGUCAAUCACAUCAUUCUCCUAAUGAUGUGAACCUGUUAAUCAAAUGACAACUCAUGUCUAUGGCUAGGAAACUUGACCAUCUUUGAUCAACGAGCUAGUCAAGUAGAGGCAUACUAGUGACACUCUGUUUGUCUAUGUAUUCACACAUGUAUUAUGUUUCCGGUUAAUACAAUUCUAGCAUGAAUAAUAAACAUUUAUCAUGAAAUAAGGAAAUAAAUAAUAACUUUAUUAUUGCCUCUAGGGCAUAUUUCCUUCAAUUACGCCUGAGCAGGUAACGAGGUCAUUACUUCAGUCAUUUCUCAUGCUUGCCUGAAAAAAAGUCACCAAUUUUGCAUUGUUGCCCUAUUUCAUAGGUGGAAUGACAGCCAUAUGGCGCCGAUGACAGACUUGGGUACACCCCGGAGUUUUCCAUCAACCCGAUGUGCUUGCGGGAUAGGGAUCUCUGGCUUAUGCGGUGCCCACUGAUAUGCAACUGGGCUGUUGAGUUUCAUUUGCCACAUCGCGUGUUUCGUCAGUUUGGUCUGUUCCAGCCUCACCCACCGGAAUGGGUGGAUACGGACAAAGCACUUCAUAGGUAAGAGAGUGUAUUGACUAAGCAUCAUCAGUCCUUCUUGAUUUUGCUAAUGUUUGGUGUUGUACCAUGCAGGUUGGACAGGAGAAGGCAACGGAAGAUAAAGGACUGGGACAAGCAUCAUGCUUCGUAUGUUACUCGCUUCUAGCUUUGCGUGGAGCAAGCUCGUAGCAAUGCACGCGACAAGCUUCGUGAGCAUAACUCACUUGCUUUUGAUAACUACAUACGAUGGCUUCUUGAAAAUACUCGAGUUGAGAUAUGCCCGCCGGCAUAUAAUGAGGAUAUUCUUGAAGAACCCGUAAACUUUGAGGAUCUAUCAAAGGGGAAGUACAACAGAGAUGUCAGGGUAGGGCAAGGAGUCCCUGCUGUUCUGGUGAUUAACUAUGUGGUAAAGUGUUCCUUCUUUACUUUCCCGUUGGCCGUAUUACACAUGUUUGAAUGGCUAACAUGUUCAUUCUUUCUCAUCCGCAGUGCACCGAGAUCAAGAAAGCAGCUGAUGAGAGCCAGUCUAUUCUGGAGAACACACCGGUUGGAAAAGGCAAUGAUGAUGGUUCACUACGAGCAUUCCUCAAGGUACAUAUCGCAUUCACUAUGAGAGCCAGUCUAUGUUGCGGAGUUUGAUAUCUUCCACACUUGUUCAUGUUACAGCGUCAGGCCAAGAAGUUAAGGCGGUUAUCGAAUCUUCUCGGUUGCCGUGAUCCUGAAUUUGAUGAACCAUCUUGCUCUAGGUCUGGUACACCAUCAGACCCCUUAUCUGACCAUCAAGGGGCCGAUGUGAGUUCCUCAUAUGCUUAUCUGGAUGAUGAGGGUGCGGUCACCCAAGAGGUAUGACUAAUCCUUUAGAUGUGAUUCUCACUUGAUUGCGACGCCGGUCUUCAUCAUAUUGUUUGAUUGUGUGAUAGGGCCAUGAGCUUGAUGAUGACAUGACUUUGGCGGACGCUUAACUUCGGUCCCCAUAUGUGUUCAAGCCUAGGCAGCCCAGACGCCGGUACACGCCCAACGACUUUGACAAUAGAGGCAACCCAAAGGUGGUCGUAGGGACCUCAUGGAUGGCUAGCUUGGAUGAUGAGGCGGAGGCGGAGGCGGAGGAGGAAUUGCAGGAAGAGGAGGCUCGUCCACCCAGGAAGAAGAAGAUUGCUUGCAGGAAUGGCACCAGGAACACACGCGGAAGGCAUUAGUGCUUGUGUUUGUUAGUGCUCUUGUAGCCGUUUCAUUAGGUUGAUGAACUUGUGAGGUUAUGUUAUAUGUUGGUGAACUCUUACUAGUGUGGUAUUUGUGUUUGCGAACUAGUAGUAAUGUUGAAUUGUCCUAAAUGAUGUGAUGUUCAAGUUAUUAGUUGUCUUUGUUCAGUAUUUGUGUUUACAAUAAUUUUAGUGAUGUUCAAGCAAGUUAUGUGAGUGCUGCAUGGGCCAAAAUGGCAUCUGUUUCUGCAGUUUGGCAGUUAACAGCACUGCAGCGCCCAACAGCCAAGCGCUGCACUGUACUGUGCAGCGCCCAACGCUUAGGCGCCGCACCAUACACUGCAGCGCCCCUCUCAUAGGCGCUGCUCAACUGGCCAUGGCUAUCCAAAGAGCCACAGAAGGCUUGCAGCACUGACAAUCCAUGAAAAUUACCAAGUCAGAGUGCAGCGCCCAAGAGCCAGGCAUGGUCUUCCAACGGAUGUGCAUUCCAGAACCAACAUUAUGCCUUCUCUCGAACUCAACAACGUCACUUAGGUCCAUCUAAUUCAAAUCCUUCCUCACUUGGUCCAAGAGCUCCGCAUAGCUAGGACUACUCUCAAACACCAUGUCAAGCUCAUCCGGGUCCGGCUCAACAUUGCCUUUCAAAAAGGCCUCUUUAUCCACAUGAUGAACAUAAACACAUUUUCUCCCCAUCCCUAUAAUAAUCAAAAACACACAUAUAUCAAGUAAGUACUUAACAAAAAUAUUUGCACAAAAUACAUAUGCCAUAACAUAUAUAUGAAUUAAUAACCAUAACCCUCACAUAACAAUUACCACAACCCUAACUAUAGCAUAACCCUAACACCAACAUCAAACACACACAUAACCCUAACCCUAGCAUACUAUGAAAGCCUAACCAUACCAAAUUAGCAAAGAAACAUAACAUGAUUCAACACAAAUUUGCAAAUCCAAGCCAAAACUAGGGUUUCCCCAAAGUAGCAAGAUUUGAGCAAAUGUGACAAUUCCUAUGGAUGAAAACGAGGGGAUCGGAGGAGAUUGCCUUAAGCGAGGGAUUGGCUUCGAAAUCCACGGUCAAAUACUCCGGAUUUGCAAGAUUUGAGAAGGAUUUGAGAGGGGGAGAGGGGAAGAGAGGAGGGGCGCAAGUCUAAGGGUUUGGGUGGGGUGGGGUGUGUGGGGUGGGGUGGGAGGGGAGAGAGGGUGGGGCCAGCCUAAGUGAAACACGGACUGUGCAGCGCCUAAGAGACGGGCGUUGCAUAUUACAAGUGUGGCGCCUAGGCCUUAGGCGCAGCAGUGCUGUCUGUGGGGCCGCAACUGGACCAGGGCUGCCACGCUGGCAGAAGGUGUGACGCCCAAGGGAAGGACGCUGCAUAGUAAUAUGCGGCGCCUAGCUGUCGGGCGCCACACGAAAGGGUCAGCAGAGUGAAAUGUUUUCGAGAGCAGGUCAGUUUGUGAUUUGAUUUCGCCCUCAGGUCAAAUAUGUGAUUUCUGCCACUAUUAGGCAUGACAUGAACAUAUAAUUUCAUCUUAAUGAUAUUCAAUUCAUUCAAUAAUUUACUGAUAGGAUAUAAAUGAAGCACAAGAGUAAAUGACGAGCUACUCCAAAAAGAUAUAAGUGAAGAUCAAACGAGUAGUUAAGUAAAUGGGUAACUAUUUGAAGACUCUCUCUUAUUUAAAAAAAUUCAGAUCUAAGUAUUUUAUUAAAAAACAAGCAAAAAAAUAAAUAAAAUAACAUUUCAAGAAUAGCACAACUCAUGUGAAAAAGCAAAAACUUAAGCUCAACCGAUACUAACCGAUAAUUGCUGAAAAAGAAAGGUAGGAUGCCUACCGGGGAAUCCCCAAGCUUAGAUGUUUGAGACUUGUUGGGAUAUUAUCUUGGGAUGCCUUGGGCAUCCCCAAGCUUGAGCUUUUGUGUCUCCUUAAUUUCUUUUAUAUCAACAUUUCCCUAAAUCUUAAAAACUUCAUCCACAUAAAACUAUCUUGCUUUUCUGAUUGCAUUGUUAUCUUACCUUGAAUUGUUAUGAGAAAAAAUUCAUCGUAAUAUAUGUUAUUUCUCUUAAUGUUAGUAAUGCAUUCUUCUAAUUGUGCAAAUGUGGAGAUACUCUAUGAUAUAUUAAUUUCUCUGACUUUUUAUUCAUUCAAAUGUUCAAAUGGACAUAUAUUUAUGUUUCCUUUCAUAACUUUCCCUAUUUCCCACUCCAUAAGUCCCGUCCAAGUGUUUCCACAGAUCAAACAGAUUGAUUCAUGCUAGGAUCGACCAGCGGGCUGCACGCCGGCGGCGACCACACAACGCGAUGAUCUGGUAGGGAGCGGUCACUAGCCAAGCAUAGAACACGGCGGCAGCACGGCGGACGGCCACACAACACGGCGACGGUCGACGGACGCCCACACAAUGCAGCGGCGGUCGAAGGAUGGCCAUACAACUCAGUCGCCGGCGUCCGCCGGCCGGUGCUGGCGGCCAACAGUCCAGAAGGACUCGCAACAUGCAAUACAACCUCACGUGCUGCCUAGAACUAAUGAGCACCACAUGUGUAUAUGAUCGGACGUUCAUAAAAGAUAGAAGUUGUAAAUCUGAAUAGAGUUCACAAAAUUGAUAAUAAAUCACAAAUUUAGAAAAGUUCAUGAAAUUUGUACAAAGUUCACGAAGUUUAAAUAAUCAUGAAUUUGAAAAAUAAAUCAAGGGCUAAUAGUUCGUGCAUCUGAAAAAGUUCAAAAUUGGAUAAAAUCAUGAAUUAAAAAAGGGAAAUGAUUAGCUUCAACCGACUGAUGCUUUAUCGUUCAUCCGCCUCCUCACGCCCGCGACGCGUGUCCGUGUGGGACCAGCUCAUUCUUAUUCUCACGCCAACGACCACGCCUCCCAUUCCCGAAGCUUCUCACUAGAAUCGUUUUCCCUUUCGUCUACCCCGUCUUCUCCCAUCUCCUCCAAUCUCUCUCCUGUGAGCCCGUGCUGCUCCUCCAUCUUUCUCAUCUCCCCUCCCCUCCAUACUGUGGUGUUGCAUCGGUUACACUAGACAAGUCUGGCAAGAUUCAGAUUGACGGUGGCCGGCUGCCUGGCAUACCUACUUCAAGGUUCCAUGGUUGUAGGCUAGGCCCCAAAUGGUACAUGUGCAUGUCGCUCACCAUCGAGCUUUGGAUGAAAUUCAUGACAUGAUAUUACAAGUGCUUCACGUGGAAUUUUUGCAACAAAGAUCUUGUUGCAGAAAUACAGAGAAGAGGUCGUACAGGUUGUUCUAAUUUUUGCUACAAUGGUCUUGUUGUAGGAAUACAAAGAAGUUUUUGGCAACAACGGUCUUGUUGCAGAAAUGCAGAGCUGAGAUCGAAGAUGUUGUUGCAAUUUUUGCAACAAGGAUCUUGUUGCAGGAAUGGAAGAGGCGGGAGAUGUUUUUGCAUUUUUUGCAACAAUGGUCUUGUUGCAUGAAUUUAGAGAAGAGGCCAAAGAUGCUUCUGCAAUAUUGAUUUUGUUGCAACGAAGUUUUGCAACAAGCGUCUUGCUGCAGAAAAUAAAGAGAGACAAUGGGAUGACUCGUGGCAUACAAUCGGACGGCUCCUGACCUGGCUGAUCUUUUAAAAAGAUCAGCUGGUGGACACAUAGCAGGCCCCAUAAAAAAACAUGGGCUCAAAAUUCAUGAAUUUUGAAAGAAUCACAUAUUUGAAAAAAUCAUGAAUUUAAAAAAGUUCAUUAUUUUUAAAAUUGUUUACAAAAAAUGUAAAGAAAAGCCAAAAAAGAAGAAAAGGGAAAACUGUAAAAGAAAAAGAAACAAAAAGAAGAAAACCAAAGAAAAAACGAAACAAGAACCGAUAAAACCCCAACUGGAAAACAUACAAAAAACAUAAGUAUAUGGGACGACCCGCUACAAAACCUAGGGUACUGGGGGAGGUGAGGGUGCACCCCGUACGAAAACACCCUUAACUGAUGCUUAAUGCGUUGAAUAGGGAUUUGUGCACUGGGCUUGCGCAUAGAGGGUUGAGGGGUCGCUAUUGGUGGACUUCCCACGCCUUACACGGGGAAUAGGAUCCACAUAUAUAACACCCUUUUGCUUCAAAUUGUCGACAUGCCACACAUGCGGUUACGCGGAUCAUUAUCGACAAGUGUUGGGCGAUUGUUGCCUGGUUUUUUUUACUAGUUUUGAAUUAUUGGUUUGUGGUAAAAAAAAAGAAACGUCAAUAUUUAUUUUCUUUAAAAAUAAACACAUCCAAAAAUUUGAGAACAUAUUUUUUUAAACAAAGUAGAUUUUUUUAAAUUCAAACAUGCAUUGAAAUGUAUGUGAGAAUUUUUUGAAAAAAUCUCACAUUUUACAUAAAAUUUGUGGAUGUGUACUUUGGAAGUAUGAAAUUUUGUUUGAAAUAUUUCAAGAAUUUUGAAAAGGCACAAAUUUUGUAUGGCAAAUAAAACAACAAGAAAAGGAAAACAAAAAUGGACCGAAACCUUCUAAAAGGUUCGCAAAACCGGAUUCCUUCUGGAUGNNNNNNNNNNNNNNNNNNNNNNNNNNNNNNNNNNNNNNNNNNNNNNNNNNNNNNNNNNNNNNNNNNNNNNNNNNNNNNNNNNNNNNNNNNNNNNNNNNNNNNNNNNNNNNNNNNNNNNNNNNNNNNNNNNNNNNNNNNNNNNNNNNNNNNNNNNNNNNNNNNNNNNNNNNNNNNNNNNNNNNNNNNNNNNNNNNNNNNNNNNNNNNNNNNNNNNNNNNNNNNNNNNNNNNNNNNNNNNNNNNNNNNNNNNNNNNNNNNNNNNNNNNNNNNNNNNNNNNNNNNNNNNNNNNNNNNNNNNNNNNNNNNNNNNNNNNNNNNNNNNNNNNNNNNNNNNNNNNNNNNNNNNNNNNNNNNNNNNNNNNNNNNNNNNNNNNNNNNNNNNNNNNNNNNNNNNNNNNNNNNNNNNNNNNNNNNNNNNNNNNNNNNNNNNNNNNNNNNNNNNNNNNNNNNNNNNNNNNNNNNNNNNNNNNNNNNNNNNNNNNNNNNNNNNNNNNNNNNNNNNNNNNNNNNNNNNNNNNNNNNNNNNNNNNNNNNNNNNNNNNNNNNNNNNNNNNNGGAAACGGACAAUGAGCACACCGAGGAAGUGAACGAAACCAGCCAGAAGCAGGGACUUCACCGAGAAUUGGGAAAGUGAACAUUGUCCAAAAAAAGUUGGUAAUGAGUUCCACGUCUUUUCUUGAAAUUAACAUGAAAAUAAUUUCAUGUAAAAAAAUAAAAUAACGACACUGCAAAUGACCUUGCACCUGUAGGAACUCAAAGAACAACAUGAAAGAUGUAAUGAUAAUCCUGAAUUUGCGCCACCUUACAAGAAUGCAAACAGAUGGGUGCCAAGCGCCAUUGAGGGCCGCCAAAUCUGGAGUUUGAUGGCGUGUUCGGCGCGCUGCCCUGGCCAAAUUCUUUCAACAGUAAUGGCUUCACCUUUGGUAAGCUACUUUGUAAGUCUGACAACCAGCAUAUCAGCGAUGGAGUCGUGUCGAGUUAUGGUGAAGAGGAGAUCCAUUAUUUAUUUUUUCUGGUGUUUGCUGCGGUGGUGCUGGAGGCAAGUAACAAGCGUUGGAUUCAAGCUCAAGGGUGCCAUCGGUCUUGAUUGUAAUUUUCUUUCUUGACGGUCCUUUGUGCAAGGGCUAGUUUUCAGAUGUCUUUUUACUAGUUUUGUCAGGUCGACAUCUUCGUGUGAUUUGUAUUUUGAUCAUUUUAUAUUAAUUAGACACAUACUACCAUAAAAAAUAUGAAACGAAACAAUUUUUUAAUUGGAAGCAGCAGAGAGUAGAGAAAUACUACAAGCCUUUGUUUUUUUAGAAAUAGUACAACCUGGACCUCGAGGACUGAGCAACAAUGGCUGCAAUUGCACAUUGGGCCUUUAACCCAUCGGUGCCAUCAUUCCUCCAUCGCAGGCCUUGGUAUAUGAUGGUGAUGUUUCUCAAAAAAAAAAAAAACAGUUCGCCCACCCUUAGGGUUCCACCAGAGAGGAAAGGGGAUCGGGUGUCAGUUAUGCGCCGCCGCCGCCUGCCGUGCGCCGAUCUCCCCCCUCUCGCCGUCGCAAUUGCCGUCGGAUGCCUCGAAUGAGGAUCCACUGCUGCUUGCGAAUAGGCGACCAAAUAAGCAGCUCCCCCUUUGGGAGCCGCACUCCCCAAUCGAAGCUCUUUAGGGAGCGACGAUCCGCAAUCAAGCGGCUCCUCUCCGAGCUGCAACCGGCAAUCAAAGCAAUCAAGCGGCUCCACUCCGAGCCGCAGUCCGCAAUCGAAGUAGCUCCCAUUUUUAGUGGCUAAUCCGGAAUCAAAGAAGUCCUUUCCGGAUUACAAUCAGAAACAGGCCCUCUUUCGAAUUCAGUCUCCGAGUUUCCAUUGGUGGCGGGGACCUAGCAGAUAGUAUAUAUAUCUGGCCGGGCGGACACCACGGUACCCGCCAAUUUUAAGAGGGGACGAGCAACUCUCUCUUCCCAGCGACCGGCUACCAGAUCGGCCUCGGCAAAUCCUCCCUCGACAUGACGGUGAGUUCGUCCUCCUGUUGUAGAUCCUCUUACAACUUCACCGCAGGAAAAAAAAAAUCAAGGAAUAAUAAAAAGUACUGUAGGAACCAUAAUCAUAAUUCAUGGUCAAAAUUUAACCUUUCUGGUGGCGAAAUGUCAAAAUUGCGUCAGUCUCUUGGAAAGUAUGAAAUUUUCCAACACUGUGGGUAAUUACAGAGAACUGUACUAUCAAAAUUGUGUGUUUCUGUGGGAAAGUAUGAAAUUUCUACAAUCAAAUUUGUGUCUUUCUGUGAGAAAGUAUAUAUUUUAUUUUUUGUCUGUGGAAAAUAUUAAAAUUGCACCUGUCUCAGUAAGUAAUCAGACUCUGAUUUGUUUCCAUAAUAAAAUGUAGGACAAUGAAGUUGAUAGGCUCAGCAAGUUGCCCGAUGACGUUUUGCUCAACAUUGUCGAGCGACUUGAUAUCACCGACGUCGCAAGAACCACCAUCCUAUCCAGGCGCUGGAAGCAGAUCCCUGCCAUGCUCUCAAAAAUUAUCAUAACGGUCGGUUCUUUUGAGCCCAAGCGCGGAAGAGGGACAAAAUUAACCUCACAUGAUAUAGCUCGGGCCAACACCACCGUGCGGGAAGCAACCAGGAGCAUACUAGAAUGCAGGACCGGAAGUCUACACACCAUUCACCUAAUGUCCAUGCAAUUCUAUCUGGGAGAUGACUCCAUCUUCAUUGGCCAGACUGUUGCCAACACCAUAGCAACACAAAAAGUUGCUUCGGUUGAGUUCGUAAUCUUAACCGAAGUGCGUACCAAUUGUUACGUCGAUGACCUGCUCAGUUAUGGGAAGCGGUUCAUGUUAUUCUUUGAUUCAUGUCCAAACGCAUUUGGUGGCCUUGCACGCCUCUGGCUAGAGAAUUUGAGGUUAGGCGAAUCAGACUUCCCCAAAAUUUUCAGUAUAUGCAAGCAACUAGAGUUCUUGCGCCUCUGGCGGUGUGACACGGGGGAUCUGUCUUUGCUGGAAGUGGAACACCUGCAACUCCGUGAACUUGUGAUUUCGGAUAGCAGUCUUGAGAGGGUUGAUCUCAAGUGGGUACCAAAGCUCACAGUACUGAAAUUUAAUGGGUUUUUAUCUCGAGAUGACCCUUUCUCUUUGGGCUAUGUCCCACAGCUCCAGACUGUGAGCAUCACUAAUGUUGGUCUUUCUUGGCACAAGAUGCUCAAGCUAAGUGAGUUGCUUGGUAAAACAGCCAUAAGCAACCUGCAUUUGAACUUCAGAUGUGAAAAGGUUAGUGAAGGUCUGCAACUAAUGUUAUCAGAAUGAUGUGUGUCAUGGAGAUGUUGUAGUCAUUAUUUUUGGCUAACAUAAUUCUGCAUUAUCCCCCUCUUUUGCAGAUUUGGGUCAAACCAGAAGGCCGGAAGCAAUUGUUACCGGUGUUCCGCAAACUAAGUUUUGUGAAUUUGUUCAACAUUUCCGAAGAAUGCGAUCUGAAUUGGACGAUGUUCAUACUCCAAGGCGCACCCACCCUUAAGGAACUGUGCAUUACGGUAAAUAAACUCUUGUACCGGUUCUUCAUCUCUCAUUUUUUAUUCCAGCACAUGUUGAAUAUGCAAAUCGAAUUCUCUUUUUCGAAGUUCAAACUUUCCAUGACCAGUUAGGAGUUUUUGACCUGAUUGAAUGCAGGUGCGGGAUCAUUUAUGUGAAAUGACAAAGGGGAAGCGGAGGUACAUGCAUGAGUUUAGCGAGGAGAAGGACAAAGGACUGGAGUGGGAACCAUCUGCCCUAGAUUUCAAUCAUCACAGCCUGGCUGAGCUCUGUAUCUAUGGUUUUCGGGCAGAAGACAAAUUUGUGAGGUAUGCCAGAAACAUCAUGGAGGCAGCGGUGAACCUGGUGGCUGUAAACCUGUAUAAGAAUCCAGGGUGUGAGAAAUGCAAGCGCAGGCUUCCAAGUGGGUGGACGUGGACGGAGAUGCUGUUGAUUAGAGACAAAAUCAGCAAGGGUAUGCCGUCAAAUGUUGGGAUUCGCUUCCCGAGUUGACAGGCGACAAUUAAUAUGGAUUGGAGGGAGUAUCAUCUCAAAAUACACAGGUUCAUUGUUGACGAUUAAUCAGUGCAUACAGCAGUAGCUUUGCAGCGCGAGUGCGUUGUUUUGUCUAAGAAAAAAAUUUGCUGUCAGCGACAAUUAAUAUGGAUCGGAGGGAGUACUAAGUUGUACAAUAAUAAGAGUAGCCUUAACAGUAGUGUCAAGUAUAUUUUUU